rnacentral:ncRNA from 2 species
AUCGUUCAUCUUACUUUACUUCGUUUGUCGAGUAAGACGGAAGUAAGGAGAAAUCCUGAAGGAACGCGCC